rnacentral:tRNA from 1 species
ACCGUAAUACCUCAGUUGGGAGAGCGUUUAGACUAUAAAUCGAAAAGUCCAUGGUUCGAUCCCGGGUUCCGACA